GCGGUUUGUCGCGUCUGCUGUGAAAUCCCGAGGCUCAACCUCGGGCCUGCAGUGGGUACGGGCAGACUAGAGUGCGGUAGGGGAGAUUGGAAUUCCUGGUGUAGCGGUGGAAUGCGCAGAUAUCAGGAGGAACACCGAUGGCGAAGGCAGAUCUCUGGGCCGUAACUGACGCUGAGGAGCGAAAGGGUGGGGAGCAAACAGGCUUAGAUACCCUGGUAGUCCACCCCGUAAACGUUGGGAACUAGUUGUGGGGUCCAUUCCACGGAUUCCGUGACGCAGCUAACGCAUUAAGUUCCCCGCCUGGGGAGUACGGCCGCAAGGCUAAAACUCAAAGGAAUUGACGGGGACCCGCACAAGCGGCGGAGCAUGCGGAUUAAUUCGAUGCAACGCGAAGAACCUUACCAAGGCUUGACAUAUACGAGAACGGGCCAGAAAUGGUCAACUCUUUGGACACUCGUAAACAGGUGGUGCAUGGUUGUCGUCAGCUCGUGUCGUGAGAUGUUGGGUUAAGUCCCGCAACGAGCGCAACCCUCGUUCUAUGUUGCCAGCACGUAAUGGUGGGAACUCAUGGGAUACUGCCGGGGUCAACUCGGAGGAAGGUGGGGAUGACGUCAAAUCAUCAUGCCCCUUAUGUCUUGGGCUUCACGCAUGCUACAAUGGCCGGUACAAAGGGCUGCA
rnacentral:rRNA from 1 species